rnacentral:rRNA from 1 species
UACGUAGGGUGCGAGCGUUGUCCGGAAUUAUUGGGCGUAAAGAGCUCGUAGGCGGUUUGUUGCGUCGGCCGUGAAAACCUGCGAGCUUAACUGUGGGCCUUGCGGUGACGUAGUCGGCAGACUUGAGUUCGGUAGGGGAGACUGGAAUUCCUGGUGUAGCGGUGAAAUGCGCAGAUAUCAGGAGGAACACCGGUGGCGAAGGCGGGUCUCUGGGCCGAUACUGACGCUGAGGAGCGAAAGCGUGGGGAGCGAACAGG